rnacentral:RNase_P_RNA from 11 species
ACGAAACGAAACAAAACAAAACAAAACAAAAAAAGACAAAACAAGACAUGACAGACGACUCCCUGCCCUCCUUUGAAGGAACGGAAUGAGUCGCCUCUUUUGUUUCUUUGUUUUGUUCUUUCCUUUCUUUUUUCUUG